GCUUAUAAAAACCCGACAUUGACAGUGAGAUGCUGCACGACACAGAGACCUCUUUCAUUGUUUAUUCAUGUGAUCCUCAGAACAACUCUGUGAGGUAAGCGUCUGAGGUGUUUCUAUUCCUGUUUUACAGAUGGGGAAAAUGAAGUUCGAAGCAGGCUGUCCUGACUACAAGAUGCCGUAUUGUUUCUGAGAUGCCACCAUGGUGGUUGCCUCUUGGCUCAGUGCCAGCUCACUCCAGGAGUGGAGAUGAGUUCCCAGGUUCCACAUCACUCAACACCAUGCCACACGUCGUGUGUGCUCUGCAAAUAGCUCUUGGUGCCAGGGUCACAACCUAGAGUCAUCUGGACCAGCCGCCCUUACAUCUACUUUCUGCACACUCAGGUUGUAUCCUUCCAUGUAUCUGGGAGCUCAGGAGAUGCAGGUGGCUUCUAAGAAAACCUUUUGGGUCAGACACUAAGGUGAAGAAAUCCUCUUGUAUCAUCUUGCGAGAGUGGCUCCUUGAAUUACUCAAAUGAUAAAGAGACUUGUACACAUUUUAGUACCAUUAUUUUUAUAUAGAUUUCUUUGUUUAAGAAUAGCACUAAGACACUGAUGAGGAAAGAGAUCAGGCAAACAGCUUUCUUCUUCAGGAAUUUGGAUUUACUGAGAUGAGUUUUUGUGCUAAGUUCCAGCUCCACCCAGAGCCUCUUCAGGAGGAGAGAGGUAGGCCUGACCCCCGUUUCUCUCUGCUGCGAUCCUGGGCAUUUCCUCCUGCAUCAGUGGCCAAGUAACCCAGCUACUCCAGCCAUAGCUGAUUGGAUCAGGGAUGAGCACUUGACUUGUAGACAGGCAGCCAAUCUUUCGGCUGUCCAGUGAAAAAAAGAGGGAAGACUGUGAAGAACUAGACCACUCAGAUUUUCUCUCGUGGGCAGUUUAAUGAAAGAUGUUAGCAUAGUAGCCAUUGGUAUUUGGAGCCAAGGCAAAAAGACACAGGAAGAAAAUCGGACGCAGAGACCAAAGUCGGUUAACUGGGAAGGCUUGGGCUAAGGAUCCUCCAUUCCGCUGGUGACUGUGUUGGUCCUGCUCUGGAUCCUGAGCAGCUAACCGUCCGUUUCUGAACAAUUCUCAUUGCAUCUCUAUAAUAGAGUUCCUCUUCUGUUUGGAAAUCUGUCUGGGAGGUUUUCCCUCCAUUACCUUUGGACUUGGUCAAGGGUGAUAAGCUUGGUUUCUUUGCUUCUGCAUUUAUCCUUUCAAUAAAGAAUUCAUCCUUUAAGGUGACCUGAGUGAG
rnacentral:lncRNA from 1 species